rnacentral:rRNA from 1 species
AGUGAACGCUGGCGGUAGGCCUAACACAUGCAAGUCGAACGGCAGCACAGGAGAGCUUGCUCUCUGGGUGGCGAGUGGCGGACGGGUGAGGAAUACAUCGGAAUCUACUCCGUCGUGGGGGAUAACGUAGGGAAACUUACGCUAAUACCGCAUACGACCUACGGGUGAAAGCAGGGGACCUUCGGGCCUUGCGCGAUUGAAUGAGCCGAUGUCGGAUUAGCUAGUUGGCGGGGUAAAGGCCCACCAAGGCGACGAUCCGUAGCUGGUCUGAGGGGAUGUUCAGCCACACUGGAACUGAGACACGGUCCAGACGCCUACGGGGGGAAGCAGUGGGGAAUAUUGGACAAUGGGCGCAAGCCUGAUCCAGCCAUACCGCGUGGGUGAAGAAGGCCUUCGGGUUGUAAAGCCCUUUUGUUGGGAAAGAAAUCCAGCUGGCUAAUACCCGGUUGGGAUGACGGUACCCAAAGAAUAAGCACCGGCUAACUUCGUGCCAGCCGCCGCAAUAA